CCUACGGGAGGCAGCAGUAGGGAAUAUUGCACAAUGGGGGAAACCCUGAUGCAGCGACGCCGCGUGAGUGAUUGAAGCAUUUCGGUGCGUAAAGCUCUAUCAGCAGGGAAGAUAAUGACGGUACCUGACUAAGAAGCCCCGGCUAACUACGUGCCAGCAGCCGCGGUAAU
rnacentral:rRNA from 1 species